rnacentral:rRNA from 1 species
AUUGAACGCUGGCGGCAUGCUUUACACAUGCAAGUCGAACGGUAACAGGCCUUCGGGUGCUGACGAGUGGCGAACGGGGGAGUAAAGCACCGGAACGUACCCAGAGGAGGGGGAUAACGCAGCGAAAGCUGGGCUCAUACAGCAUGUGAGCUGAGGAUGAAAGCGGGGGAGCGAGCCGCAAUGUUUGGCCUCGCGCCUUUGGAGCGGCCGAUGUCGGAUUAGCUAGUUGGUGGGGUAACGGCCUACCAAGGCGACGAUCCGUAGCUGGUCUGAGAGGACGACCAGCCACACUGGAACUGAGACACGGCCCAGACUCCUACGGGAGGCAGCAGUGGGGAAUUUUGGACAAUGGGCGAAAGCCUGAUCCAGCCAUGCCGCGUGUGUGAAGAAGGCCUUCGGGUUGUAAACCGCUUUUGGCAGGAAGGAAGCGGUGUCAGCUAAUACCGUGCUCUAUUGACGUUACCAGCAGAAUAAGCACCGGCUAACUACGU